AGCUGGCUUUUUGCAGUGCAGCUCACCAUGAUGCACCACUGCAGCCAACAGCAGGAAAACGGAAGAGAGCGGACAGUAAGAAUGGAUCAGCUGCUGAGGACGAUGUGGUUGAUAUAAGAGAGCAGCAGACCAUGCAAGGACCAGAGGCUGAGAGACCCAACCCAAAUCCGUCACAGAAUGGAUCAGCUGCUGAGGACGAUGUGGUUGAUAUAAGAGAGCAGCAGACCAUGCAAGGACCAGAGGCUGAGAGACCCAACCCAAAUCCGUCACAGGUAAGAUUACUUAUGGGCCAGCCUUCAUCGUUGUUUGUUUAGUUUUUCUUUUACAGGAGUGAUUUGCUAUGAUGACUUGAUGCAUACAAUCUGAACAACAAAUUUCAUUCAUCUGCAAUAGAAUAGAAUAACAAAGACUUUAUUUUCAUGUCAGGCACUUCCAUUUUGCUCAGCAGGCUACAAUAAAGCUGAAUUGAGAUCUCUGGCUGACAUAAAACCAUGCCCAAAGAGUGCAGCAAGGCACAAUAUUCUAGAAAAGCUUGAUCAUAGUGAUGAUUAGACGUAGCAUUUCAUUAUAUGGUCUGAUGUUUGAACUCAAAAAAUAUUUAAAAUAUUGUGUUGGUCGCCCCAAAACUAGCUACAACAAGGAAUCCCUAAAAUAUCCAUCUCCAUCUUCGUCUGCUUAUCCGG